rnacentral:lncRNA from 1 species
UAGAAUAUCAAAAAGCUAUCCAAAAUUUCAAAGAGAUUGAAGUAUUCCAAAUUUUCAGGUCAGAAAAUACCCGGAUUGACGCUCUGUCAUAUCUCGCCACUUCAAAUUUUUUGAACUGAAUCAGAAAGUAUUGAUUGAAUAGUUAGAUAAGCCUAAUAUUGAGGUACUUUCAAUAUUUCAGAUCAGUCAUGAGUCGAGUUGGAUUAAUCCCCUCAUACAUUACAUAUCUAAAGAAGUUUUGCCCGA